UACGGAGGGGGCUAGCGUUGUUCGGAAUUACUGGGCGUAAAGCGCGCGUAGGCGGACCUGCAAGUCGGGGGUGAAAGCCCGAGGCUCAACCUCGGAACUGCCUUCGAUACUGCGGGUCUCGAGUCCGGGAGAGGUGAGUGGAACUGCGAGUGUAGAGGUGAAAUUCGUAGAUAUUCGCAAGAACACCAGUGGCGAAGGCGGCUCACUGGCCCGGUACUGACGCUGAGGUGCGAAAGCGUGGGGAGCAAACGGG
rnacentral:rRNA from 1 species